UACGGGGGAGCAAGCGUUGUUCGGAUUUACUGGGCGUAAAGGGCGCGUAGGCGGCGUGACAAGUCACUUGUGAAAUCUCCGGGCUUAACUCGGAACGGUCAAGUGAUACUGUCGUGCUAGAGUACAGAAGGGGCAACUGGAAUUCUCGGUGUAGCGGUGAAAUGCGUAGAUAUCAGGAGGAACACCGGUGGCGAAAGGCGGGUCUCUGGGGCCGAAAACUGACG
rnacentral:rRNA from 1 species